UGGGGAAUAUUGGACAAUGGGCGAAAGCCUGAUCCAGCAACGCCGCGUGAGUGAUGAAGGCCUUCGGGUUGUAAAACUCUUUCGUCGGGGACGAUAAUGACGGUACCCGAAGAAGAAGCUCCGGCUAACUUCGUGCCAGCAGCCGCGGUAAUACGAAGGGAGCUAGCGUUGUUCGGAAUCACUGGGCGUAAAGCGCACGUAGGCGGAUAGUUAAGUCAGGGGUGAAAUCCUGGGGCUCAACCCCAGAACUGCCUUUGAUACUGGCUGUCUCGAGGUCGAGAGAGGUUGGUGGAAUUCCUAGUGUAGAGGUGAAAUUCGUAGAUAUUAGGAAGAACACCAGUGGCGAAGGCGGCCAACUGGCUCGAUACUGACGCUGAGGUGCGAAAGCGUGGGGAGCAAACAGGAUUAGAUACCCAUGUAGUCCCUGAGCGGGCUGGCAAGGC
rnacentral:rRNA from 1 species